UACAGAGGUCUCAAGCGUUGUUCGGAUUUAUUGGGCGUAAAGGGCGCGUAGGCGGCGGGGUAAGUCGGGUGUGAAAUCUCAGGGCUCAACCCUGAAACUGCACUUGAUACUGCUCUGCUUGAGGACUGGAGAGGAGACGUGGAAUUCACGGUGUAGCAGUGAAAUGACGUAGAUAGUCGUGAGGAAGGACCAGUCGGCGGAACGGCGGGAGUCGUCUGG
rnacentral:rRNA from 1 species